CAGUCGCCACGGUAAUACGUAGGGUGCGAGCGUUAAUCGGAAUUACUGGGCGUAAAGCGUGCGCAGGCGGUUUUGUAAGACAGGCGUGAAAUCCCCGGGCUCAACCUGGGAACGGCGCUUGUGACUGCAAAGCUAGAGUGCGGCAGAGGGGGAUGGAAUUCCGCGUGUAGCAGUGAAAUGCGUAGAUAUGCGGAGGAACACCGAUGGCGAAGGCAAUCCCCUGGGCCUGCACUGACGCUCAUGCACGAAAGCGUGGGGAGCAAACAGGAUUAGAUACCCCCGUAGUCCCUGUCUCUUAUAC
rnacentral:rRNA from 1 species